CCUACGGGAGGCAGCAGUGGGGAAUUUUGGACAAUGGGCGAAAGCCUGAUCCAGCAAUGCCGCGUGAGUGAAGAAGGCCUUCGGGUUGUAAAGCUCUUUUGUCAGGGAAGAAACGGUGAGAGCUAAUAUCUUUUGCUAAUGACGGUACCUGAAGAAUAAGCACCGGCUAACUACGUGCCAGCAGCCGCGGUAAUACGUAGGGUGCAAGCGUUAAUCGGAAUUACUGGGCGUAAAGCGUGCGCAGGCGGUUUUGUAAGUCUGAUGUGAAAUCCCCGGGCUCAACCUGGGAAUUGCAUUGGAGACUGCAAGGCUAGAAUCUGGCAGAGGGGGGUAGAAUUCCACGUGUAGCAGUGAAAUGCGUAGAUAUGUGGAGGAACACCGAUGGCGAAGGCAGCCCCCUGGGUCAAGAUUGACGCUCAUGCACGAAAGCGUGGGGAGCAAACAGGAUUAGAUACCCUGGUAGUCCACGCCCUAAACGAUGUCUACUAGUUGUCGGGUCUUAAUUGACUUGGUAACGCAGCUAACGCGUGAAGUAGACCGCCUGGGGAGUACGGUCGCAAGAUUAAAACUCAAAGGAAUUGACGGCUGAGAGAGCGAGGACGACACGAGGGAGGAGG
rnacentral:rRNA from 1 species